rnacentral:misc_RNA from 1 species
GAUGGGGAUAAAAAUUUUUUUAAAAAUUUGAGAUAGGUUGGGGGAGGGGGAGAAAAUGUGUUACUUUUGUCGUGUAAUGUAGUUAAUGGAGAAACAGUUACUAGGAGGUUGGAAAAUACUUUUUUGGUGUAUUUAUAUUAUGAAUAUAUUUAAAAUCUGAAAGUAAUGUUCUUCUUAGGCCUCAUAUGUUCUACACUUCUAUAUAAUGUUCUGUUUUAAGAGAUGCAG